AACNGUCGUNUCANGUUCGGAUUGUCCUCUGCAACUCGAGGGCAUGAAGUCGGNAAUCGGNUAGUAAUCGCGUAUCAGCAUGACNCGGUNAAUACGUUCCCGGGCCUUGUACACACCGNCCGUCACACCAUGGGAGUUGGUUUUACCCNAAGCCGGUGCGCUAACCGCAAGGAGGCAACCGACCACGGUAGGGUCAGCGANUGGGGUGAAGUCAGUAACAAGGUANCCGUAGGGGANCCUGCGGCUGGAUCACUCCUUAAGCUUGGAUCCCGGGAAGGGC
rnacentral:rRNA from 1 species